UCUGGUGACAAUGGCAAAGAGGUCACACCUGUUCCCAUGCCGAACACAGAAGUUAAGCUCUUUAGCGCCGAUGGUAGUCGGAC
rnacentral:rRNA from 1 species